rnacentral:lncRNA from 1 species
CCUCCGCCGACCACCGGAAAUCUAGGGCGCCACUGGAAACACCAGGCGCAUCCACUUCCUAUCAGACCCCACCGGCGAAGCUAUUCGGCAACCCCCCGUGUUCCUCCUCUCGCCACUUCCCUGGAGAGAACCCUCCCAAGCCUCCGCCAUGGUGGAGCUCCCCUACCCCAUCGCCUCUGAUCCACGCAUGCGCUUCUUCCUUGCUGGAGCUGAUGCUGGCCGCCGCCUCACACCGUCGGGAACCCCCACCCCCGCCUGUCCUGGCCUGCCACAUCGACCUUCACCCAAGGGCCACCUUGACCUUCCCGGAGGAAGGUGCAUCCAUGGAUCAGCUGCUCCAACCCCUCCAUCUCCGGCAAGGUGCGCCAUCCCCCUUCUGUGUCCCAUCCCUCCUUUUGUGCGUUGUGCCCCCUUUUAGUGAAGCUCCAUGCCACCACAUCAUCACGCCACUCCGGCCACCAGCACGCACAGGGUGUUCUUCUCGCGACGGACGACUUGAACUUGCUGAGGUAGUUUCUCCGCAUCGGCAGCUCCCCACCGGAGCGACAAUGCCGGGGUGAUUGAACUUCAGUGCACGAGACAGUAGAGCCGCCAACGAGGCUCGUCAAAUCCUCCCCAGCAACCUCUACCCACACCUGCUGUUGCCACCAAAUCUGUACCGCGCUGCCACCUGCGUCCGGCCUCCAUGUCUCCACCGUCCAUCGCAUCACUCGAGAAAGGUUGCUCCCGGUCAGCCACAGAGCCGUGCUUGACCUCCAAACCGCCGUGCUAGUGGAACGAUACAGACGCCAUCGUAGAGCCUCUUGGAUGGAGCUUGUGUAGUUCCCCAUCCGCCUUCUCCAACUACCGCUUUGACGUCGCUGUGUCCAAGCCAGUCAGCGCUGCCACAUUAGGCUGUUCAACUCUGCUGUAUGGCUCGCUACUAUGAGGCUAACUGGCUUUGUUUUUUAUCUGCAUUAUGGGCACAAAUGAUGAUCGGGCUCCAUUAGGUUGAGAGUAGAGCAGUUAGCACUUGGCCAAAAAUCGUACAUUCUAACUGUAUCUUUUGAUUUGUUCUGUAGGAGAUGCAACAACAACACAGAGGAAGUUCUAGGUUGAUUGAUUUUGUCAUUCUGCAAUUUGGAACUCUGCAGCGAAAUCCCUAUUGGCGGGGAUGCUGACUAGGCCGAUUCACUGCUGGGACGGAAAAGAACUCGUGAUGGUCUUUAGACCUGCACAUAGAGUUAUAAUUUGUUGCGAAAAGUUCACAAAAAGAAUCUACUUCCUAGCAUGAUGUUUCAGUACACAUUCUGUAGAGUUUUUCCCCAACUGUAUUCUCUUAAACGUUUGUAUUGCAAAACUGAUGUGCAUGUGAACAUGAGAAAGAAAAUCUGUACAGAGAAGUUCAUGUAGUACUUCCAGGAAGCUUUGUCUAUUACUAAGUGUGUGCACAUAUAAUUUCUGUCUCCACAUAUAUGUGUAUGACAGUACGUCUUUUUGUGUGUGCGUUCUUCCAGAUCUACUUUAGCAUUGACUGAAUGACCAAGGUUUCACUAGCAUGGGAAACAACAUACGUCCUUCUGCUAUCACCCCCCAUUAUUCAGUUAGUUAAAUUGUGUUGUCUUGUUCUAGUUCUACACUGCUUUUCUGAAGUUCAAUAGUG